rnacentral:rRNA from 1 species
CAGCUUAGACUUCGGUCUUUGCAAUUGCUUGGGUGUCGAAAGGCGCCCAAUCUUUAAAACUUUUAUAUUUGUUCUGAAACAAUGAAAAUUUAAAACUUUCAACAACGGAUCUCUUGGUUCUCGUAUCGAUGAAGAACGCAGCAAAGCGCGAUAGGUAAUGCGAAUUGCAGACGUGAGUCAUUGAAUUUUUGAACGCAUAUUGCGCUAUUAGUUUGUCUAAUAGCAUGCUUGUUGGAGUGAUAAUCUUCCUCUCAACCAUUUUUGGUAUGAGGUCUUGCUCCUUUUAGGAGUUAAAAUCAUGGAAGUGCACACGUUAAUUAACUCUGUGCAGUUAUACACUUUUCAUCCUCCAAUCAAGCAAGGUUACCCGCUGAACUUAAGCAUAUCAAUAGCGGAGGA